rnacentral:lncRNA from 1 species
GAGCCUUACAAAUUGCACUGACCAUAAGCAAGCAGAACAUGUGAUUUUUGGUUGCAAUUGAAUGUGGUUGCUAUUGGAUGCUACAGUACAAAUUUAAUUUAUAAAUAAUGUUAUAUUGUUAAUGUAGCUAACCGUUGUAGACCUGACCUUCCUCACAGCUUUCUCUUUUUUUUUUUUUUUUUUUUUUUUUUUUUUGUGAAGACUGGUAAUAAAUUACAGCAUGAACCCAGCCAGAAGAAUUAAUUCUUGGGCAAAUUGAAUCCACCUGAAGGCAGACAUCAGUGAAGUGCAAAGAGAUGAUGAAGAGUGCAGGGGAAGGAUGAUUAGAAUACAUUUUCCCUGUCUUAUUUCUGGAGGAACUGAAAGGGAGAGGAAUGUAUCUAGUGGGUGAACAGGUCAUGUGCCACAGGGGCAUGGGAUUUAGUGGUUCACUUCAGUCCCUAGUUUCUUGGGCUGAAACGGGGAGAACUUUGGAGAAGAUGCAUAAGCAGGAUUAAGAGGCAAUGAAAGGAAGGACCAUACUGAAGUGGAAUGCAGAGGGUGAAGUAGAGGUGAAGAAAAAAGAAUGGAAGAAAAAUGCAAGAAUAACAAGGUAACCCAGAAAAUAUUCUGACUUCAUUAUCAGUGUCUUAGGUUAGGUUUAUAGGUAAUCUCUAAGUGACCUCUUCACGAAGUUUCUUUCCUGAAAGGCACGUGACAUGAAAUGAUUAAAACAUUUAACUUUUGUUGGUUUUCUAUUGAAUAUGCAAGGAAUGGACAGAGGAUGCUCUGUAUCUUCGUGUGUGUGCUAUUUUUUUUUUAAAUUCUCAUAAUGCCUGGAAGCCCUUUGAUUAAACAGGAAGUUUUCUUUUGAACUUUUAUGACUAACAUAACCACAGGAAAGCUAAGAGCAUGGGAUUUCAAAUAGAAGUAGUGCAGCAUAAAGUAGAUAACAUUUUAUAAAAACCAUAGAAGUGGUCCUGGGAGUAAAAGGAAAUUAUAGAAGUACAGAUGCAUCUUAUAGAACAUGACAGUUAAAAGGGAAUUGCAUUGAAAUAUCAUUUUAACUAGCUUAGACAGAAAUUAACCCUCUGAAUAGAAAAGACCAAAACCAUCCCUAGAGCCAGUGCCUAGGUUAUUGCAUCAGGGUUGAAUUGGGCCCAAUGUACUGAUGAUAGGAUAUGGAGCUUGAAAAGGGCAUGAACAAAGAUGAAUUGGAAACAGAUGUCAGAAAGAAUUUUUAGAAUCAUGCAUUUAUGAAGUAGCUACUGGGCAAGGUGGAUGAUGAAAAACACAAAGGGACAAGAAGAAGGAAAAGAGAGGGAGAGAUUGACAUAUCUUACUUACUGCUUCAGCUAAAAACAAUCUGUGCAGGUGAUGUCUAAUGUCCCUAACAUUUCUUUUUUCACUCACUACCACAUUAAGAUGGCAAUAUUGAAACAUGUUGAAUCUGCCUCUUAAUAUUUUGCAAUGUAUCAGUCAUACUAUCAAACCAUAGAUUAGUUUGGGCUAGAAGGA